rnacentral:rRNA from 1 species
CCCUUAGAUGUUCUGGGAUGCACGCGCGUUACACUGAUUCGUUCAACGAGUUUAUGACCUUGCCUGAUGAGGUGGGGGAAUCUUUUCAAAUCGCAUCGUGAUGGGGAUAGAGUAUUGUAACUGUUAGCCUUCAACGAGGAAUUCCUAGUAAGUACGUGUCAUCAGCUCGUACUGAUUAUGUCCCUGCCCUUUGUACACACCGCCCGUCGCUCCUACCGAUUGAGUGCUCAGGUGAAUAGUAUGGACUGCAUCAGUGUUCGGUCUCCGAAUGUUGACGCGAGAAAUUCUGUGAAUCUUAUUGCUUAGAGGAAGGAGAAGUCGUAACA